CGGGUCAGUGGGGCUCUUGGCUGGAGGGGAGCCAGAAGCCUGAAGGAUGCAGGCGCUCUUGCUGCUGCAGGACUCCGUGGACACGUGAAGUUUAUUUACCAACUUUCUCCUGCUUCCCCAUGGAAGAGAUCCAUAAGCCCUUCUGGAAUACUUGGGCUAAGCUUCAACCACCAGCUCACUUGUGGAUUUCCAGUCACAGACUUUUCGGAACCACAGGAAGCCCAGAUUUGCCGUUUCACCAUGACAAGUGGCAAUGACUCACUCCAGACAGAAGCAAACAAAAUAGGCAGCCCUUCUAUGUCCACUGUCAGCCUGGCCUUAGGCUUCUUACAUUAAGCCUGUCUCCCUCAAAAAAAAAAAAAAAAAAAAAAAAGCACAUGCAGAGCAAGGGCUCCCCGUGUUCUAUGGAGUCACUCUUCUCUAAGGAUUCACUUCUCUGUCAGUUGGCUGCUCUCAGCAGGUUCCAUAGACCCCUCCAGUGGGGGCUAAUGUUCGAGCUGACCACUGCCUCCCACCAAAUGAAGCCAAGCCGGAAGCUCCACAAGCACUCAGAUUGCUUGUUUUAUAAAUCACUGAGUCCUUUCCCACCCAGCCGUGCACCUUAUCUCUUUAUAUGAAGGAAACUGAGGCUCCCAGAACAAGCCCUUGCCCAAGAUCUCAAAACCAAUCUCCAACAAAGUUCUGAUUCCAAGGAGAAUCGGGCCAGCAAAGAGAACCCAACCAGAACUGGAUCCCCACUCUAACGCCAGGUCCAGCUUUUCCUGGUGUAUUUUCAAUGAGGCAGCGUCACUAAAGGAGCGUCCAGUGGGAGGGGGGAAAGGGAGAGGAAGAGAGAGGGGAGAAAAACUGGCAAAGAAGGCAACAGAACUGAGAACAGGAGAGAGAGAGAGAGAGAGAGAGAGGGAGAGAGAGAGAGAGAGCGCACUAGCGUCCGUCCUUUCUCUUCCCUUUGGGAGGGGGUGGUGGCAGCCGCACUCGCCCGCUCACACACACACCCGCACAAACCCCAGUCCCGCCGCCUGGCAAGCCUGUGCAGACUGGCUAACCCGCACUUAACUGUACCUGUCUUCCUGGGACCGCCCACCCCCUGGCGAUCGGCUGGCACCGGCUGCCCAUCCGCCUCGAAGCCCGGGAAGAUGUGGCGAGGGCCGGGUGGUAGGACUGUAACAGCCCUUAAUUUGGUUACAUUCAAAUAAACGGUUUCGUGCACCUC